CGAACGAGGGUGCCUUCGGGAGCCGUAAGACAGGUGCUGCAUGGCUGUCGUCAGCUCGUGUCGUGAGAUGUUGGGUUAAGUCCGCAACGAGCGCAACCCCUAUCCUCAGUUGCCAUCAUUAAGUUGGGCACUCUGUGGAGACUGCCGGUGUCAAACCGGAGGAAGGUGGGGAUGACGUCAAGUCCUCAUGGCCCUUAUGACCUGGGCUACACACGUGCUACAAUGGCCGGUACAAAGAGUUGCGAUACCGCGAGAUGGAGCUAAUCUCAUAAAGCCGGUCUCAGGUUCGGAUUGGAGUCUGCAACUCGACUCCAUGAAGUUGGAAUCGCUAGUAAUCGCGGAUCAGCACGCCGCGGUGAAAUUACCGGUUCCCGGGCCUU
rnacentral:rRNA from 1 species